rnacentral:rRNA from 1 species
GAAGCCAUGCAUGCCCGCUCACCCGGGACGCGGCGGACGGCUCAGGACGACGGUUGCACCCCCCGCGGCGGUCCCUGCUAGCCGGACACCGCUGGCAACCCGGCGCCAAGACGUGCGCGCAAGGGCGGGCGCCCGCGGG